UGGCUCAGGAUGAACGCUGGCGGCUGAUGAUGCCUUGGCUGUUGUGCGCGAUGGUGUCUCGAAGAGUAAUGCCAAGGCGAGCUCGACAUUGGUGCGUUCCACCGUCUCGGGUGUGAUUCUCGAUAUUCCGGUGAAGGUGGGUAACAGCGUCAUUUUGAGUAAUACGUUCAACGACGGUACUACCAUUGCCAGCGUGGCGAACAUGAACGACCUGAUUUUCCGUGGAAACAUUGAUGAAACGGAGGUGGGUCAGCUGGUGUCGGGAAUGCCUAUGAAGAUAACCAUCGGUGCCUUGCAGGACUUGUCGUUUGGCGCUAUGCUGGAGUAUGUUUCGCCUAAAGCGGUGGAGAACAAUGGUGCCAAUCANUUUGAGAUCAANGCUGCCGUUCANGUGCUCAAGGGUAGUAAGAAUCNCUCANGCUAUANUGCACNGCNNAAAUUGANCUGGNUUCAUGCCCNCCAAGGCUNUNUNCNUGCCCCAANAAUGCUNUUGAGUUCANCGGNNANUNUACCUUCNNUUAU
rnacentral:rRNA from 1 species